ensembl:lncRNA
AAAACUCCUGCAUAGCAUCUGUCUGUGUGACAGGGGCUUCCCUGAGCAGGGACUCCUCUCAAGGUUAUACAGAUUCAGAGAUCUCUGACACCUUGAUAUCAAGAUGCCUUGCUGAUACAGAACUGUGACCUUGAGUAGGAGGAUGUCUUUGAGUGUGGAAUGAGUACAGACUACACGUAGGAGGCCUAAAGGACUACAUCUUUGAAGAACUACGCGUAGAUUCAUGAAAUGUUUCAGAAGCUAUUGCAAAUCCUACUAUUUAGGGUACCAAGGAGUGAAAUAGCUGCGCACCACGUAGGUUAACCUAGAGUACUGAAGAGUUCGGUCUAAGUAUCAAGAAACUUUUCUGCAAAACUCUCUGCUAGGGAAUUGUGAGGUCUUUGCCCCAAAGAGCUGUCAGGUCUCACAUCUUUACACUGACCAGGGGCAGUCCUCUGGUCACCAGCCAGUCACCAGGUGCUCUCAGCAGCACAUGAUGGGCCAUUCACAAACUUCAUAUGUUUGUUCCCACACCCUCCAUCAAAGAUGCUCUGGGGGUUAUAGCUGUGCUUUGGGUAAUCACAGUCUUUGGUGUAGUCAAAAUAGGAAUGCUCAGCUUCAUUUUUACUAAUGCAGCUCAUUUUAUCCUGCCAGUUUGUAACCAAAGUUGCAUUUGAGAUUUGCAGACUCAGCCCAUGCCCUCUUAUAAACAAACCAAGCAGAUUUUAUCAAUGGUAUCAGCAGGGACAUUUCAUUUAGUUGGGAAAAGUUCUGUUAAAACUAAGACACUUAAACAAUUAUCUGUCUUGAAAAUCAUUUUAAAAGCCUUCAUAUUUUACAGGUUUUUUUACACUGAAUUUACUGCAGCUGUUAUUUUCAUUAUUACUGAUAUUAUAAUUGAUACUAUUAUUUCUUUUCUGGGAUUACAUAUUUGGAUUUGCUAUCAUACACUGAUCAGCAGCCAUAAAAUAGAGUUAACAUCUUAGUAAACAUCUCAGCUUUAAGCAAAGAAUCUUGCAGAGUAUUCCCACUGCUUGGGGAUGAAAUAUUAGGUACAUUCAGUUUUCUUUUGCAGAUGUUUCUCUCUCCCUGUAUAGGUCAGGGACAUCAAAAACAGUGUCUGUGUGUGUAAAACUGUGUGUGUAAAACUAUGGCUGUUAUCUCGUUAUUAAACUGGAAGUCUGCACC